CAUAGCUCAGUGGUAAAGCACAUGCUUAGCAUGCACGAGGUCCUGGGUUCAAUCCUCAGUG
rnacentral:tRNA from 1 species